UUCAGCUUGUAACAAAAAAAAAUCUAGCCACAUGCUAUAGACUGAAUGUUGUUGUUCUCUCAGAUUUGCAUGUUGAAACCCUGACCUUACCUGAUGUGAUGUGUUAUGAGAUGAGACCUUCGGGAUGUAAUUAAGUCAUGAAGAUGGGAUCUUUAUGAAUGGGAUUCGUAUCUUUAUAAAAAUUAUCUUCACUCCUGGUGCCAUUGAGAAGAGACCUAAAGCAAAAACGGAAGCCACACACCUGAGAGCUGAUUUUGCUACAAACACUUGAGAAAGAACAUGUGUCUAGAACCUGUAAGGAAUUCUUCAUUUCCCAAAUAAGACCAUAUGCUCAAUAAAAGUGGGGAAAAGGUUUACAGAAUUUACAGAAGAAGACACUCAUCCAAUGAUAGGAAUUGAAGAAAAUCCUGAAUUUCAGAGACCUCUGAGAGAAGUGAACUCUGUGUUCCCCCUGCCUGAAACCAUGAGCUCUUCAAACUUGUGAGUAUGGACACAAAGAAAUGGGACCUGCAGAGAGUCUACUAAGAAGUGGAGUAGAACAGAGAUAGAGCAACCAAAACAGUAUGGUAUUGACACAAAAAUAGGCAUGUUGAUGAAUGGAAUUGGAUAGAAGACCCAGACAUAGAUCCCCAUAUCUAUGGGCACAUGAUUUUUGACAAAGAAACCAGAAAUGCACACUGGUAAAAGAUAAUAUUUUCAACAAAUGGUGCAGGUCUAACUGGAUGGCUGUCUGUAGAAGAACGCAAAUAAGUCUGUUCUUAUCACCCUGCACCAAACUGGAGUCCAAAUGAUUCAAAGACCUCAACGUAAAACUGGGUACACCGAACCUGUUGGAAUAAAAGUGGGGAAUAGGCUUAAACACAUUGGCACAGGAAAAGACUUCCUAAACGGAAGAUUGUCAGCACAGGCACUAAGACUUAAGAUUAAUAAACGGGACCCCAUGAAAUGGAGACACCUCUGCCCUGCAAAGGACACUCUCAUUUGGACAAAGCAGCAGCCUAGCGUGGGAAUUUUUUUUUUUUUUAACCAACUACACAUCUGAUAGAGUGCUAAUAUCCAAAAUAUAUAAAGAACAUCUUAGGGAUUUUACUGCUGUAAAGAGACACCAUGACCAUGGCAACUCUUUUUUUUUUUUUUUAAAUUUUCUUUUUUGGUUUUUCAAGACAGGGUUUCUCUGUGUAGCUUUGCGCCUUUCCUGGAUCUCACUCUGUAGACCAGGCUGG